rnacentral:rRNA from 1 species
GACGAACGCUGGCGGCGUGCUUAACACAUGCAAGUCGAACGGAAAGGCCCUGCUUUUGUGGGGUGCUCGAGUGGCGAACGGGUGAGUAACACGUGAGUAACCUGCCCUUGACUUUGGUAUAACUUCAGGAAACUGGGGCUAAUACCGUAUAGGAUCUCCUGCUGCAUUGUGGGGGUUGGAAAGUUUCGGCGGUUGGGGAUGGACUCGCGGCUUAUCAGCUUGUUGGUGGGGUAGUGGCUUACCAAGGCUUUGACGGGUAGCCGGCCUGAGAGGGUGACCGGCCACAUUGGGACUGAGAUACGGACCAGACUCCUACGGGAGGCAGCAGUGGGGAGUAUUGCACAAUGGGAGGACGCCUGAUGAAGAAACGUCGCGUGCGGGAUGACGGCCUUCGGGUUGUAAACAGCUUUAGCCUGUGACGAAGCGUGAGUGACGGUAAUGGGUAAAGAAGCACCGGCUAACUACGUG